GUUAAGAAAUUAAUAGUACCGAAGACAGUAGGAGGCUUACACCUUAAUAUUUCCUACCGAGGACAACAUUGAGAUAAUCAAUAGUCCCUCUAUGUCAACGGUGGCAUGGAGUUUUUUCGUUUUAUAU
rfam:Vagococcus lutrae LBD1 adhBo-supercont1.10, whole genome shotgun sequence.